UGACUGCACCAAAUACUGCACACUUAGGCUACCCAGUCUUUAACUAUGGCCAUUGUAGUGGGGAUGAAUAUGAAGAGCUCCUAAGACAACAUGAUGAAGACAUCCUGCAAAUACAGGAGCUGAGAAAAUCCAAAGAGGU
rnacentral:lncRNA from 1 species